GGAGAACCCGGUGAGAUUCCGGGGCGGUCGCGCCACUGUGUCACCCCGCGUUGCGUGGGCCCUUGUGUUGUGGGGGCCGCGUGUGAGCGCGGUGGUGGAGCCAGACCUUCC
rnacentral:ncRNA from 1 species